UACGGAGGGGGCAAGCGUUGUCCGGACUUACUGGGCGUAAAGGGCGCGUAGGCGGCCCGCUAAGUCGAACGUGAAAUCCCCGGGCUCAACCCGGGAACUGCGUCCGAUACUGGCAGGCUUGAAUCCGGGAGAGGGAUGUGGAAUUCCAGGUGUAGCGGUGAAAUGCGUAGAUAUCUGGAGGAACACCGGUGGCGAAGGCGGCAUCCUGGACCGGUAUUGACGCUGAUGCGCGAAAGCCAGGGGAGCAAACGGG
rnacentral:rRNA from 1 species